UACGUAGGGUGCAAGCGUUAAUCGGAAUUACUGGGCGUAAAGCGUGCGUAGGUGGUUUGUUAAGUCUGUUGUGAAAGCCCCGGGCUCAACCUGGGAAUGGCAAUGGAUACUGGCAAGCUAGAGUGCGGUAGAGGGUAGUGGAAUUCCUGGUGUAGCGGUGAAAUGCGCAGAUAUCAGGAGGAACACCAAUGGCGAAGGCAGCACUCUGGGACGUGACUGACGCUGAGACGCGAAAGCGUGGGGAGCAAACAGG
rnacentral:rRNA from 1 species